rnacentral:lncRNA from 1 species
CUUUUGAUCUCUUUUCCCUCUGUUUUGUGAUAUUCCUCCAAUUCCAUUUUCAAUCCACCACUCUUGCUGCUCUGCAUGCUCUGAGCAAUCUUAUCUAAUCCUUGGCAUUUCAAUAAGCAGUAUCCAAACUCCUGUUAGAAAUCUCCAUUUGGGUUUCCUGCAGUUACCUCAGCCUAAACAGAAUCCAUCAUCUGCCUUAAAUUGGUUUUCCUGGAAAACAUACUCUUAAAUGGAGAUUGGCACACAGGAAAUUUAUUGGGAAGUGUUGUUGGCAACGGGCUCCAUGAGAGAGAGAAAGAGAAGCAGGGCUGGGUAGAAGGAAAAUUUGAUGUGAUGAAAUACCAUAUUGGUGAAUCAAAUACUCCUUAAGCUCUGACACCCAUACUGGCUGAGUUUCUGUGAGAAGGAAAGGUAAAAACAUACCUGGAAUAAGUGUCAAUUCUAGUGAAAAUGAAUGAUGCUCCUUUCUGAGUGAAAGGAAUCCAAUGUAGUUGACCUAUCACCAAGUGGCUGGCUGUGCUCCUCAAGGGAGAUCUCAUUUUGGGUUUUUAGUAUUGGUCUCUGUUGGCAGUUGUAUUCUUGGCAAUGAUGGCAGGUAAAUCAGCCUAAAGAGUGAGAACCAAGAUGUUAGCAUAUGCUUAGCUUCUAUACCAGCCACCACGACUACUCUAUUCAUGUGCCUGUUGUGCCAAUAAUGGAUGACUUAUUCUUUCUCUACUUGGUUGUUUAUGCCUCUUCCAUUUUGGAUACUCUCUGGUGAGCAUUAACGUAUAAUUCAAAAUCACUCUCCUUCUGUGCUGAAUCUCACAGACCAAUCCAUAUAUUAAUUCAUACACCUCAUCUCCAAAUCUUCUUGUUCUUGAUCUCCCAUAUUUUCUCCUUCCAGUUCUUCAGCAAGCUAGCCAACCAUUUACUGUAGGUUUUGAAUUCAUAAAUAACCUCUUCUCUGGCCACUUCUCUUCCCACACAAAGUGGACAAUCAGAUGCAUGUCCUAAAGUUCCACCCACUGAGGGGAUUUUUCUCUCACUGCUAUCUUUUAGGGCCAUCUCUGCAUGGAACUAUAAUAUAAUUUUUGGCUUGUGUGUACAUACUGAGUUGAUCCAUACAUUAACUGAGUUUGGCGUUUUUCUUCUUCCAUCACUUGGUCAAAAGGAACUCUUUAAAAAAAAACUUUAUUUUAUUUAUUUAUUUAUUUAUUUAUUUAUUUAUUUAUUUAUUUAUUUUUAUGUGGUGCUGAGGAUCAAACCCAGGGCCUUGCACAUGUAGAUGAGCACUCUACUGUU